rnacentral:rRNA from 1 species
AACAGCGAUAAGGGGACCUCGAGUGCCAGGUUACAAAUCUGGCUGUCGUGAUGCCUAAAAAGCAUUGCAUAGCAAGGGCCGGGCAAGACCGGUGCCAGCCGCCGCGGUAACACCGGCGGCUCGAGUGGUAACCGUUAUUAUUGGGUCUAAAGGGUCUGUAGCCGGCCGGAUAAGUCUCUUGGGAAAUCUGGCAGCUUAACUGUCAGGCUUUCAGGAGAUACUGUCUGGCUCGAGGCCGGGAGAGGUGAGAGGUACUUCAGGGGUAGGGGUGAAAUCUUGUAAUCCUUGAAGGACCACCAGUGGCGAAGGCGUCUCACCAGAACGGACCUGACGGCAAGGGACGAAAGCUAGGGGCACGAACCGGAUUAGAUACCCGGGUAGUCCUAGCCGUAAACGAUACUCGCUAGGUGUCGGCCACGGUGCGACCGUUGUCGGUGCCGUAGGGAAGCCGUGAAGCGAGCCACCUGGGAAGUACGGCCGCAAGGCUGAAACUUAAAGGAAUUGGCGGGGGAGCACCACAACGGGUGGAGCUUGCGGUUUAAUUGGAUUCAACGCCGGAAAUCUUACCGGGACCGACAGCAAUAUGAAGGCCAGGCUGAAGACUUUGCCGGAUUAGCU